rnacentral:lncRNA from 1 species
GGUUUACCGCUAACCCACGCCUAGAACUCAUCGUACUCUUGGAACUCCUGGAAGUCCUCCUCCACGACCUCAUCUUCACCUGAGCAGUGGUUGCAACGCUGACAACCUGGGGGGUUUGGUGUGUAAAGCAAGGGUGAGUACACAUCAACAUACUCAGCAAAAUGUCCCGUUUGGCUAUAGUGGACUAGCUUUAUGUGGAGUUAAGUCAAGCAGUUGCUUUUAGUUGGUCAGGUUAUUAUUUACUAGUAGAAAGCCAGGUUUUAGCAUUAACCCAAGUUAUUAACCCGAUGUAUCCUUUUCAAACGGAAAGAAUAUCACUUACCAGUACCAUAAGCAUAACCAAACUCAUCAUCCUCAUCACCACCUAUAAACCAUACAUCUCUGAUCAAGUAUCUCUAAUCAAUGGAGCUCCCUUGGACGCUCAUAACCGCGAGCACGGCUGAUAUAUCAGUUUCAUAAUACUCUGCAGAGGUUGCGCACUUUACCCACAAGCUGUGAUUCCCUCUUGCCUCGGGCCGAUCAAACCCUUAAACACUACCAAAGUGAACAGGCAGGGUCUCACUACGUAGCCUUUACAAAGAUUUUCUAGGGCUGUAGCCACCCGUUGGGUUUCCUAAAUGCACCGAACUCCUCCCCAAGGGGGCGAACCAACCUUGGCAGAGCGAGCCGCAUACACCGAGCCCCAUUAACGGAACGACGGCGAAGCGAACUACACCCCAGUUCCUCUAAUUACUCAACUAAGGGCGUCCCACUCCACCCUCAUGGUUGCACUGUUUUCCCGAGCGGUCAUCCAACGAACAGGUCCUUACGGAGAGGCACUCAAGAAAUAGCUCGAGUUCCCUUAAGGGCCACAAGUACCAUUAUCAUAAUCAAAAGGGAAAACAACGUAUCAUAGAUAUCUCAUCAUGUUCAUUGAUUAAUGUGAAGCACUAGCAUAAAGCUAAACUGAAAUAACCCAACCAGAAUAGGUAAACAAGGACAAGAUAGACAGAAGCUAGUCAAUCCUUAGGUAUAAACGGUGUAAAUGCGGGAGGUGAAUUAAUGAAUGUAUAGGACAUAAGUGGGUCAAGGGACACUUGCCUUCACCAACCAGCUGCUGCUCAGGGUCUUCACCUGCAACUCCUUCGGACUCCACCAACUGACCGUUCUCUAUACGAGUUCAAACAUACAUUCCACACAUUUAAUACAAAAGAACAGUACAUCAUACAAUAGAAUGCAAUAAUUAAACAGACGUUCGACGCAGCGCUCACACCUACGACUAAGUGAGAAAGAGAAAGUAACGGUCGAGAAGCGAUCACGUUACACAAUUAUAAAUUAAACUACUCGUUUAAAUAGAAUGGUAUUGUUGGGGGCCUUCGUCCUCCGAAGGUCCUCAAAAACAUGAUUUGACAAUGUUUUCCAAGUGAAUUAUAUGAACAGGUAUUUUCGGAUUCAGAAUUAUGGAUAUGGAGCACGACCAGGACGAAGGCUGAGCCAGACGAAGGUCGGGGGCAGCCGAAGCUGUACGCAGGGAAGCUUCGGCGCGAUGGCACAAGGGGGAACCGACCUUAAGACGAAAAGACUUCGGGGUCCUCAAUAGAUUUCCAUAAACCGUUAACAAAUGUAAUGGACAUGGAUGUAAUUUUACGUGGGCUGCGUCCCGCGUCUAUAAAUAGAUGAACAGUACUCCCGUACUGUUCACGCGAACUUGUCAUUUUGCUUUUGGCGUCACGCUCGUACUUUCCAUCUUCUCUCAGGAUCGAAGGUACAUUUGUAAUUUGGAAUCAUUUCUGUUUUUCCAUGUUAAUAAAAUAGAAAUGAUUCUUUGGUGAUGCUUAUAUCAUAUUUCAUGCUUUAUGUGAGUCCUUCGUCAUUAUGUGUUAUGAUUACGAAGGUAUGUUUCUCAUGACCUUCGUCCGAGACUCAUUAUUUCCCAAAGGGAUAUAACGCUUCGAAGGACGAAGGACCCUAACACUUAACACUUUUUAUGUUGCCUUGUUCUUAACUCUUAGAAUUUGAGAACAAGUCCCCAACAUUGGCGCCCACCUCCGGUGAACUCACUUCCACUUCGAGUCUUCGUGAACACCUUCGGAAGCUAUAGACCUUCGCUAUGGCGCCGAAGAAAGCUUCAGCGGCUGGGGCUGCAGCACUACAACCGCUGGACCACAACCAGGAGACCGUCUCUCUUCGGGAGGCCAGAAGCCAGAAGAGAAAAGCUGUUAGCCCGACGCUUGAGGAAGAAGAGCUGGACCAAGAAAUCAGAGAGAUGGAGAUGCUACAUCAACAAGUACAGAGGAAGAAGGAGAAGAUGGCCCGCCUAGCUGAGUUGCAAAGGCAAAUUGACGAAGCUUCUGAGGAAGUUCGCCAUCUUACUCACGAUGAGCAGAACAGAAGGCCUCAUCAGAAAGACCUUCAUCAGGAGGGCUUCGUCAACGAAGACGACUGGUAUGAUAAUUUCCAUCAGGGAAAUUUUGUUUUUGAUGAUGCUUCUCCUCUAUCUGCUGAGCUGCAGGCUACUCCUUGGCCUCCAUCCUAUAAGCCACCCCAGCUCCCCAUGUUUGACGGCCACUCCGACCCGAAGCAAUUCUUGAUGAGCUACGAAGCAACAGUGUCUUCGUACGGGGGCAACGCUGCAGUCAUGGCGAAGUCUUUCGUCAUGGCCGUCAGGAAUGUUGCUCAGACCUGGUAUUCCUCCCUUCGGCCAGGAACAAUCACUUCAUGGCAGAAGCUGAAGGAUAUGUUACUGACCAGCUUUCAAGGAUUUCAAACGAAGCCGGUUACAGCUCAAGCCCUCUUCCAGUGUAUUCAGGAUCACGAAGAAUACCUUCAGGCUUAUGUCCGAAGGUUCUUACGAUUGAGGGCGCAGGCACCAACGGUGCCCAAUGAAAUCGUUGUCGAAGCCAUGAUCAAGGGGCUUCGUCCUGGACCUGCAGCUCAAUACUUUGCUCGGAAGCCUCCUCAGACCUUGGAGAAAUUGCUCCAAAAGAUGGAUGAGUACAUUCGUGCCGACAAUGACUUUCGCCAAAGAAGGGAGGAGGCCUUCAGAUUUUCUGAGAUGACCAGGGGCUUCGGAGGAAGAUAUUACCCGAGGCAUGUCCGUUCCAUUCACAGCACUCAGAAUGAUGAUAAGGGGAGUCAGCAAAACAGGCCGCAGUGCUCCUCACAGGCUUCGGGGCAACAACAAACUUCCUUUCGGCCACCAGCUCCAAGAGGCAGAGGCGCCAGGGGCUUCGGCGGAAGAUUCGGAGAUCAGCCAAGGAGACUGUUUUGCCUAUUCUGUGGAGAGGGCAAGGGCCACACCACUAGGACGUGCCAUGUUACAAUCCAGAAGCAAAAGGAACUAGCCGAAGCUGCAUCUCAACAAGCUCAGUCGAAGCAGGUUUUGCAUACUGCUUCGUUUCAUCCGCCUUAUGUCCCACAAUACAUAGACAACCACCCUGCGGCUUCUGUAGCUUCGGCAAGUCAACCUCAAGCUUCCUGGCAGCAGCCUCCACCUCCACCUCCAUUGCAGCAAGGUCAACAGCCAGAAGGGAGUCAAUACGCUCCACAGCAGAGGGACUUCAGAGAACAGUCUGAAGCUCGCACAGUCAACAGCACUGUGCCAGAGUCGAAGCACAUUUAUUGACAUAUCCUACCUUUGAUAGCAGUCUUUUCUAUUCAGUUUUAUUUUCUGUGAAGCAAAAAACAUUGUUAGUUUCCAUGUAAUAAUUUCGUUGUUUCCACGAGAAAAAUUUAUUUGAUUCACAGGCCUAAGUUGUCGAAGCCUAAAAUUUCUUCCGUUACCAAGAAGGACCUUCGGACUAAAAAUCCUUCGGAGUAACAAAAAGUCGUUCUAAGGAACGCAGAGUAAGUUUAUAAAGUCACAAAAAGUCGUUCCAAAGGGAGCGCAGCGUAAGUUUUCUGCUCAGAAGUCGUUCCUAAAGGAAUGCAGAGCCUACAACGAAAAGUCAACGCUGAUACCGUCUAAGUAAAAGACGAAGAAGCUCCUAAGGGAGGCUUACAGCGAAAAGUCAACGCUGAUGCCGUCUAAGUAAAAGACGAAGAAGCUCCAAAGACGUUCCUAAGGGAAUGCAGAGCUUACGAAUAUAUUUUAUGUGUAUCUUCGGAACAAAUGUCACAUGCAUAACAUAACAUCAUCACAUCAUUUUGCAUAGCAUAAGCAUCAUACAUCAUAUCGCAUUUGGCAAGAGAAGGGGACACUCUAAACCUUCGAAGGGAUGCUUUGAAAAAGUAACAUUGAAAUUGUAUAGCUUCGGAAUACAGUUUUGGGGAAUAUUUUCACGAAGCAUGGGCGAGCUUUAUCAGAUCAAUAUCAAAAUUGCAUAGCUUCGGAAAAUAGCUUCGGAAAAUGUUUUCACGAGGCAUCGAUGUCAUUCAUCAGAACAAUUUUGACGAAGGCUAUCUUCUUCACGACGCAUGAAAAGAAGGGAAGGUGUUUUUUCGCCGAAGGCUCAAAAGUGGUAUGUAUUUAAAGUUUCAUGCAUCGUAAAGAAUUCAAUAAUGAAAAGAGACUUGUAUAUUACAUUCAAAUCUACAAAGUGUUGCAUAGAUUACACUUUAAAUGUUUUUUGCAAAUAGCACCUAAUCUUCCCUCAAUACUGCUUCGGCGGCUUUAUUCAGAAGUUGGUCAACGACCUUGUUCAUGAUAGUUUCGGCCAUCUGAUUAAUUUCUUCAUCCCCUUUUGUGUGGGGAGAUCGUCCAACAGCUUCUGAGCGUAGAGAACACUUCUUCAGUACUUUUGCAAAUCACGAGCAAAGUUUAAAAUGAAAAUUACAGCGCAACAAGAACGACUAGUUGGUACCUAACUGUCCUUCGGGCUCCCUACUCUUUUCGGCAGUCUCUGCCACUUUCCUAGCUUCGUGGAUGCCUUUUUCGCUCCUUUCGAUAAUUUCUUGUGCCAUUCCUCGGCCGCCGUCGUUCCAGAUAUCAGUAAAAAAUUUGCCAGCAACCACGCUUGCUUCGGCCGAGGGGUCCUUGAUAUCUUCGGAGCAUAAGGUAGCUUCGGACUGAGCUAAAAGUUUUACGUGCCCGCAACCCUUCUUCUCUAACACAGAAGUAAUUCCUCUAGCGCCUGAAAAAGCGCAUAUGUCGCCGCGGCUGUUUAGAAUUUCUUCGAAGGCCUCUGCUUCGUGGCGAAUCCAUUCCAGCGGAUCUUCGGGAUUGCCUUGAGAAAAAUUCUCUUCGCUGGAAAAGGCGCCGACGCUAGCAAAGCUGUUUUUAAUUUUAUUCACGCAUUCUAUAGAUUUAACAUAGCAUUUCCUCUGCGAUGUGCGAAGCUCCUUAACUCUUGAUUCCAAUUUGUUGACCAUAAAAUCACUAAGUUCACGAUUCGUUUCCUCAAGCGCGCGCUCCUCUUUCGCUCUAGCCAGUUGUUUCCGAAGAUCUUCAAUCUCGCGUUUUUGAGCUUCGGAUUGGGCCUUUGAAGCGGCCUCGUCUUUUUUCACUUUAUCCACCAAUGUAAGCAGAAUUUUAUCUUUUUCCAAAGCUUCAUUUCUCAGCUUGAUAACUUCGGAGCGUAAAUUAUUAAACGCAAUUUCAUAACUUUCAUCUUCGGCGCUCUUCUGCGCUCUUAGCGCGUUGCUUAGGAUCAGGCCCUAUACGAAAAAGAAUUCAAAUAAGGAAAAAGGAAUGAUGUGCGUAAAAAUAAUGGGGGGGUUUUUUCAAGCGUUCAAUUCCGGUACCUUCAAGCUGUUGUACGCAAGGCUGUCUGCGAGAUCCUCUUUCGUCAUGGCGCUUAGUCCAACUUCGAGCUUCGGGAAGCCUAUGCCCCUGGCCAUUUCUCGACAGACAGAUAGUUCCUUAUUAUCCGGUAGGCAGUAUAAAAAAUCAUCUUCAUUUGUCCCAUUGAAUAUUAUUGCCCCCUUUGGAUAUUUUAGCUCCUUUGCAUAAUGAUUAGCUUCAUGAAUUUCUCCGUCAGAUAGCUUUUUCCCCGAAGCAUGUCGAAUAAUGUAAUCACACAUGCUGGCAGGCGCUUCGGGGAUGGCAGUGUCAGUCUCUUCAAUUAAAAUUGGUUCUGGUAUUUUUAUCGCUUCGGUUUCCAAAGUUUCUUCCCUGAAGGGCUCUGAAGGCCCAGCUUCAGCUUCAGUUUGUUGUGUCGGAGCUUCAGAGGAAGCUUCAGCAAUUUCAACACUCUUUUUUGGAGUUGUGCUUGAAGACUUAAUUGUCUCCAAGACAUCUAGUACAUUUACCAUUCUUUUCCUUUUUGGGGUCACCAUUGGAGCCUUUUGGAUUUUUGCUGCUUCAAUAUUUAUUGCAGGACUUAAAGUUUCUGAGGUUUUUUCCUUAGUCAGAUUUUUCGCUUCUUCCAUUUUUUCUGUCGAUGGUGCUUCGGUCAUCUCUGCAAUUUCUGGCAAUAAGAGUGGCUGUUCAGCUUCAGCGGCCGAAGGAGUUCCUCCAGUAUACUCAGGCACCGAAGCUGGUUCAAUAUGGCGUGGUCGGUGUGUGAAGACCUUCAACCUUUUUCCUUUUGGGUCUAGCUCGCUAGGAGCAGUUCCAGCUUCUUCUUUUUCAGAUGUUAUGUUUUUCCUUUUUUGCCUUCGGACGGGAUAACAAUAAUCAGGGUAGAAGAACCCGAUUGCAUCAAACACUCGGUUCAAUCUCUUCUUUUUUCGGCCUCCGAAGGCUGCUGAUAGUGCAGUAUUUUCAGCCUUCGAGAAUGCCCCAAGUAAUUCAUCACUUAAUGUUUCAAUGCUUUUCAGCCAGUCAUCAUCAGGUUCAAUAAAUUUAUCUGCAUAUUUGAAUGUGUAUUUUAAUCUGACUAGUCCGCUUUCGUCGGACUCUUUGAUGGUUUCUUUCGGCAUUUCCCACUUUUCCGCAAGUGGCCAUAUCCUGAAGGCAAUAUGCUCCUGGACCAAGUCCCUUGUCCCAAUGAAGGAGCAGACUGCGCCGAAGGCUCUUUGGCAUUCUUCGGCUGCCUCAUCCAUUUCAACCUUCGGCCUUCGAAGUCCGAAGCGUUGCCAAAUUGGGUACAUAAUGAUACUUUUGACAUUAUUUUGCGCUGUUAGGUCAUUUUUCACAUAAAACCAUUCAGACAUCCAGGCUCCGGGCCACCUCUUCCGAAAGGUUGGCACAGGGUAGCUUGACCCGGAGCGGGCGCCGAAGCUGUAGCACCCAAAGUUGUUGUGGUAUUGCUCCUUUCCCCAGGGCUUCGUCUCGUACAAUAACUCGUGUAUGUUGCAGAAGCUUUUAGCGUUUGGUUCCAAACCUUGGCUUCUCACAGCCCAGACAAAAAUCCCCAUUCUUAUAAUAGCUUCGGGAGUGAGUUGAUGAAGGUAGAUUUGGAAUGUUUUCAGUACCUCAACAACAAAAUUGCUCAGGGGGAAUCGAAGCCCAGCCUUGAGGAGACUUCGGAAAAUCACAACUUCAUCUUCUUCAGGGGUGGGAGAAGUCUUUUCCCCGGCAUCAGCUCUCACAAUAGAUAUGUCUCGGAAGUAUCGCCCCCUCAUAUUAUCAAUGUGACUCUGCUUGAUGGUUGUUUUCCCAAAAACUGAGUGACUUGGUCGCCACGGUCGAUCUUCGGCCUCUUCCCCAUCACUUUCCACAUCAUAGCUAUCGCUGUCAUUAGUAUCUUCGGACAAACCUUCGAGAAUCUCCUUCGUGAUUUUCUCUGUAUUAGUCUCUGCCAUCGCUAUCAGGAACCCCAGAUUCUUCUCCUCCUCGAGACUCAGCUUCGUCUCAGCAGGGAUCUUCUUGUCUUCAGACAUCUUCGGAAACACUAAAAAUUUGUUCCCGAGGCCGAAGCUUCGAAAUCAAAAAGACCAGCAAAUCUCAAUGAGCAAGAGCUAAAAAUUUUUUAGUGGGCCGAAGCAAAAGGCAGGCGUGUGUACCAAAUGAAUUCACGGUGUGUUCUUAUUUAUACGCCUAGGGCGUUAAAAGUUAAAAGGCCCCGCUUGUCAGUGAAUGUUGCUAUUCUAGCAAAGGGAAGGUGUUUUUUCGGACCUUCGGCUCAAGGCCUUCGUCCAUAUCGCAAUCUGAAUUUAUUAUUUACAAAUUAAUAUUGCGAGGGGCUACUGUUGGGGGCCUUCGUCCUCCGAAGGUCCUCAAAAACAUGAUUUGACAAUGUUUUCCAAGUGAAUUAUAUGAACAGGUAUUUUCGGAUUCAGAAUUAUGGAUAUGGAGCACGACCAGGACGAAGGCUGAGCCAGACGAAGGUCGGGGGCAGCCGAAGCUGUACGCAGGGAAGCUUCGGCGCGAUGGCACAAGGGGGAACCGACCUUAAGACGAAAAGACUUCGGGGUCCUCAAUAGAUUUCCAUAAACCGUUAACAAAUGUAAUGGACAUGGAUGUAAUUUUACGUGGGCUGCGUCCCGCGUCUAUAAAUAGAUGAACAGUACUCCCGUACUGUUCACGCGAACUUGUCAUUUUGCUUUUGGCGUCACGCUCGUACUUUCCAUCUUCUCUCAGGAUCGAAGGUACAUUUGUAAUUUGGAAUCAUUUCUGUUUUUCCAUGUUAAUAAAAUAGAAAUGAUUCUUUGGUGAUGCUUAUAUCAUAUUUCAUGCUUUAUGUGAGUCCUUCGUCAUUAUGUGUUAUGAUUACGAAGGUAUGUUUCUCAUGACCUUCGUCCGAGACUCAUUAUUUCCCAAAGGGAUAUAACGCUUCGAAGGACGAAGGACCCUAACACUUAACACUUUUUAUGUUGCCUUGUUCUUAACUCUUAGAAUUUGAGAACAAGUCCCCAACAGGUAUUAAUUUGGCCAUUGCGUUUAGCAUAAGAUAAAGUUAUGUUCCAUAUUUAAUCAUUAUAAGCAGAUAAAGGUGAAUUAAAGGAAAUGGUCGCGCGGUGAGACGCGCGACACAACAUUUAAAUUGAAUUAAGAAAUAAGCGAUUCGUCGCGCGACAGAGCGCGCAACGCGACACUUGCAAUAAUUUUAAAGAGAUGUUAGGCGUCGCGUGAUGAAACGCACGAUGGCAUACGUCAACUGAACUGAAUUUAAAAUGAAAUAUCGCGCGACGAAGCGCGCGACACAGAUCAUUAACAAAGAUGAACUUAAAUUGAAUCGUCGCGCGACGAAGCGCGCGACACAGCACAUCGACUAAACUAAAAUUGAAAAAGGGAUAAAGCUGAAAGUCGAACGUCGAGCAACUACAGUUGCGUGCGCGCGAACACGCUGCGCGCGUGCCAGGGGCACGCGAGGCCACGUCGGGGCAUGCGACAGGGCCGCUAGGGCGCACGACUGUCGGGACGUGCGGCGCGGGGGCGCGCGGGAUGCGGCACGGGGGCCGAGCGCGCGGAACGCGGACGCCGGGGCACGGGGCCGAGCCGCAGGGGGCGCGCGGGGCCGCGGGGCGAGCGGGGCCACCGGGGGACGCGCGGGCGCGGGGCCACAGGCGAGCAGGGCCGCCGGGGGCGCGGAGGGUCGUGGGGCGAGCUGCCGUCGCCGGGGCGAUGAUUGAGUUGAGUGCUCUUGUGCUAGCAAACUGAAAUUCCUGUAUGUACAGUUUUGGUUGUGCAAGUAAUCUAGUAAAGUAAAGUAUGUUUUCUGUAGAUAUCUGCUAUACAAAAGUUGUAGUUCACUUGUUUAUCUAGCUCAUCCUAAAAAUUCAUGAGCUAAGAAAUGAUAGUUUAGAAGUUAUGCUUUUCACAAGUUCAGUGACUGAAUAUGUCCAAUUUAUGUACAGAUUUUAGAGAUUGCAAUGGUUGUUUAAGUAAAUUUUAAAAUCAGUUUUUGAUGAUUUUAAGAAAGCUGUAGAUAAUUUUUUUAUCUUUCUUUUGUUAAAAUUUCAUUACUAUAGGCCUGAUAGUUUAAGAGUUAUGAAUUUUACAAUAUGAUUGUUGUGUUCUGUCCACUGUCUAGACAGAUUUUGAAAACUCUAUUGUUUGAUUUGGUUAAACAUAGAAUCACUUCUUGGUGAUUAUAAAAGUUAUGUAGUGCUUUUGCUAAGCUUUCCAAGUCUUGGAUCACUCUUUUUGGUGGUAUGAAGGUUAAGUUAUAGGCGUUUGAAGUGUGAAGUCUGAAUCUGUCCAAAUCUGGACAGCAAAGCCGUCUAAUGUCUUUUAUCCUUAGUUACAUAUUGAAUCACCUUGAGAUGUUUAUAAUUGUUUUGUUGGUAAUUUCAUUAUCUUUCUAGAAAAUUUGGGAUCACCUGAUUUGGGUGCAUGAAUGCCUAGUUAGGAAAUUUUGUAUUCAGAGGUCUGAAUCUGUACAAAUCUGGAUAGCGCUGUCGUGUUAGCACUUUUUGAUCUUGCUAAGUGUUGAAUCUUGUUGAGAUAAAAAUACCAAAGUUGUAGAGCACUUUUUAAGCUUUCUAGAAAGUCAUAGUUUGGUAUUUCUGAAUUAAUAUCUGGAGAGUUAUGAUUAAAACAAGUGACUGGUGUGCUGCUGUCCAAAAAUCUGCAAGUGCUCAUUUGAUUGUUUAGUUCACCCUUUUAGCUAAAAAUGUUUGGUUAGCACUUAAUUAAUAUAGACUUGCCAUGGCUAAGCUUAAGAUAGCAAGUGUGUCAUGUUUUAUAAGUUGCUUUCACUAGUUGAUUGUGAUAUAGGAGUUCCAUAGACAUUUAUGCCUAUGUCCUCUGUUAAACUUGUGUUGUCUAUGAUACUUUUGUGUAAUCAAUAGAAGAACUAAUAAAAAGCCGUAGCAAAUCAAAUAAAUGCUUGUACUCGUGAUGUCGAGUUUGUGGUGGUUAUGUAUAUGAUAGUCUUCGUUGGUUUCUUAGUAGUGUUAAAUUCGUAGGUCGAUGGCGUAUGGCUAGUUAGUACCUAUGUAUGGUCGUUGGUGGUACCGUGUUUUGCUCCUAAUAUCUAGCUCGAUACCGUGUACCUUGGAGUGUCUUGUGCUAUUUUCCAUCCUGUUCAUACAUAUGCCUCUUGCAUCUCAUUUAGGACCGAGAGAUGCUGAUCACGCGAAAUGAAGAACGUAAAGUGGAGCCGACCACAAGGCAAAGUUGAUGGAUGACCCGAAGAAGGAUGGAAUUAACCAGUGGAUGCUCACCAAGCGAGUAUCGUCUAUCAAACACUAUCUAGUGUGGAUUCCAGGCAAGCCCCGGUUUUAUGCAUAACCGUUUAUAUAUGCUAUUUUACCUGCACUUAAUGUUUGUAGGCUUGUACCGUGAACUUAAGUGUAGGAAUUCCCUAAAACCCUAGUUGCAUAAACUCAGGAUUCCUUUCUGAGAUGGAUACUAGUAUGCUAGGUCGAGUAGCUACUUUGCUAAUUAGGGAUCUCGGUAGAAGUCGAGUGAUUUUUCUAGCACUCGCGCGAGGUCAGGAAUUGGUUGUAUCCAUUUUGAUAACGAAAUGAUGAUGGUCUGUGGACACGGAUCCAUGGGGAUACGCUGUCUAUCAGACGAAAUUGUAAUAAGGAUUAACGUGCGAAUACCUAUGUCAAGCGUUUGAACAUACUAAACACAUGUCGAGAAAUAUGGUAACCGAUAAGCCUAGUACCUGAUUGAACCUAUCCGUAGCCUUUAUCCCUCAUUGGACCUGAGACGGAGUCUCCCAUGCCGGAUUAUGGUGGGUACAAGUGUGGUCACUGCACGGCGGCAACCGGGGCAGUGGAGCAUUGUAUGCCAAGGCCGUGAGCCCUAUUAUGUUGCUAGGGGAUCGAUGGGGACGGUUGACGUGUGUGGGGACGGAGUGCCCUGACAUGUCGUGUGUUUAGGUUUACCUUGCAAGGUUAAAACUCGAUUCGAAUCGUCUGCUUCUUGCAGCUAAUGAGACUCCUUCAUCCAUUGUACUGCAUUGAUUAAAAAGUGGAAAUCAGGUUACUUUCAAAAGGAUGUUGACUGACAUAAUUCUUGAUACCAUGUAUGGAUAGUUAGGUGCUCAUCUAGUCUAAAAAUAUUAUUCUAGAACUUGAAAAGCUAAAACUUGUUUUAGACUCAGCUAGUGCUUUUGGCAAACCAAACCCCUCAGCCAACAGGUUCAUGGUCUAGAGGUAUAGGAGUAGACUUCUCACAUCGGGUAAGUCUAGUUGAGUAUUAGUAUACUCAGCCUUGCUUAUGGCAUAAUUUUUAUAGGUACCUCCUUUGGAUCAAUGGUUGUUGGUGUGACUUGGCCUUCAUCCUUGCCACCGGGAUAGACGGUCGAGUGGUUUACUACUUCCGCAGGAGAGGUCCAGGAGGAGUAGCAUGGCCAGGCUUUGCCAUGUUACUCGGUUUUCUCCGUUAGUUAUUUCCCCUGCAUUAAAACUACAGUUAAGGUUUCUGAAACUCCGAUGAUGUAAUCACUACUGGUACUUCCUUAAUCUAUGGUAUUAUGCUUUAUUGUAUUUCUCUGUGCCUCACCUUCGAGUGAGCUAGGGGUAUUCGAUCCUUGGUAAGUGGCUUUAUCGGACUAGAUCUGAGGGAUUGAUAGUUUAUUCCGAUUUAAGUGUGUCAUUGCCUCUAAGGCAAGACUUGGCCACUUAAGUUGGAAUAAUCUGGAUGGUUCCGCCACAGGAAUCCCCCAUCUGACCGCCAUUGUAGCAGAAUCAACCCAAGAACCUCCCUACACGCCUACUCCCCUACUGCCCUUGCCCCUUUCGGGUAAGGUAGUCCUCCACUAGCUUUCCUAAUUAGUCAGCCAAGGGCGUCCCAUUCCACCCUUGUGGUGGCACGUGUUUCUGAAGUUAAGCUCCAUGAACAAUAAUGAAACAAUAAUAAAGAAUGACCAUGUGUAAUAGUUAUCUCAACACCCAAAACCAUAUGUAGCAAUAGCAAGGACUACCCAAAAGUUCAGGGAUAAACAAGGUGUAGAGAUGACCAAACUAGGGGAGCCAAUAAUGAUUAUAGAGAAUAUUAUUGGGUAAAUAAAAGUGGUCAAGGGCACAACUUGCCUUCAAUGAGCUCCUGCUCAACAACUUCUACCUGCUGAACACCUGGAUCCUCAAUCACUUGCUCGUCUACUCGCCACAAUACAAAUAAACAUGGUACAAGGAAAAUUAAUCAUUACACCAAACAGAGGAAUAUACUGCAUGCUAUUAUUCUACACAUCGCAACGAGAUCGUAGGAACAAGAAUCACUAAAUUCAGAAUUACGGAUUUUAAGUUAUGAUUUUCCAAAGUCUUUAUGUGUUUGGUACACAAUUACUCAAGUGAUUAAUUUUACCCUAGGUUUCAUGCUAAAAUAGAGUUACCAGGUGAUAGAUAAUAUUAAUAUAAAAUUAUUGCAACUGAAAUGGAUUAAAAAGGAGUUAAAUGAAUUUUCUAGGAAUUAAACAAAAUUUUGGAAUUGCUUAUAUAUAAGGAAUUCAUUUUGAUUAUAUUUUAAUUUAGUUAAUAACUGAUUGGACUGCGGCCAUGAAUUCCAGAGAGCACAGGGUUUAAACUACAACUUUCAGGGACCUAUUUGUACCGACAUAUCCACUGUCUGGAUGGCGAUUCGAUUAGUUAAUUCCCCACGGGCUCUAUAGCAAAGUUGUCGCCGCGAAGGGGUAUCGUCUCGUUCUGGCCGAUGGAUCCAAGAUGUGCAUCCCUCAUUAAAUCGGUAUCCUAUGCGAACCGGUAUUCAAGUGUGGCCCUCGGAUCUAAGAUCUACGAACCACGAUUUAAUGAAGUACGAUGGUAAGCCCAGUCCGUCCGAACCCGAUCGGACGUGCCACGCUCUUUUUACCCUUUAACCGGUGUUCCCCAUUUGAUCUACUCUGUAGGUCCUUUGAUCAAUAGUCUAGGGCACUUCUAGCUAGUCCAGAGCGCAGAUCAGAUCCGGACCGUUCAUUAUUAAUCUGAUGGACGCGAGCUCGUCUUCAACCCUGACAGAGCAGGGCGACAGCGCCCGGCGCAGAUUCACCGGCGAUCACGACCGAAUUGCGCCCAAGCCCCUAAACCCCAAAUUAACAGGUAUACUGCGGUGCUACGUACAUGGCGGAUGCGACUGGAGACUCACCUGUGAUGGAUUUGAUGCCCAGAGAGCUGCCCAUGACGGAGAGCAGCUUUGCGGCGAGUAGAGCACUCCGGUGAG